GACGAACGCUGGCGGCGUGCUUAACACAUGCAAGUCGAACGGAAAGGCCCUGCUUUUGUGGGGUGCUCGAGUGGCGAACGGGUGAGUAACACAUGAGUAACCUGCCCUUGACUUUGGGAUAACUUCAGGAAACUGGGGCUAAUACCGGAUAGGAGCUCCUGCUGCAUGGGGGGGGUUGGAAAGUUUCGGCGGUUGGGGAUGGACUCGCGGCUUAUCAGCUUGUUGGUGGGGUAGUGGCUUACCAAGGCUUUGACGGGUAGCCGGCCUGAGAGGGUGACCGGCCACAUUGGGACUGAGAUACGGCCCAGACUCCUACGGGAGGCAGCAGUGGGGAAUAUUGCACAAUGGGCGGAAGCCUGAUGCAGCAACGCCGCGUGCGGGAUGACGGCCUUCGGGUUGUAAACCGCUUUCGCCUGUGACGAAGCGUGAGUGACGGUAAUGGGUAAAGAAGCACCGGCUAACUACGUG
rnacentral:rRNA from 1 species